GACGAACGCUGGCGGCGUGCUUAACACAUGCAAGUCGAGCGGAAAGGCCACUUCGGUGGUACUCGAGCGGCGAACGGGUGAGUAACACGUGAGUUAUCUGCCCCUGGCUUUGGGAUAGCCACCGGAAACGGUGAUUAAUACCGGAUACGACCACUUCUCGCAUGGGAUGGUGGUGGAAAGUUUCUUCGGCCAGGGAUGUGCUCGCGGCCUAUCAGCUUGAUGGUGAGGUAAUGGCUCCCCAUGGCUUCGACGGGUGGCCGGCCUGAGGGGGUGACCGGUCACACUGGGACUGCGACACGGCCCAGACUCCUACGGGAGGCAGCAGUGGGGAAUAUUGGACAAUGGGCGGAAGCCUGAUCCAGCAACGCCGCGUGAGGGAUGACGGCCUUCGGGUUGUAAACCUCUUUCAGCAGGGACGAAGCGCAAGUGACGGUACCUGCAGAAGAAGCACCGGCCAACUACGUGCCAGCCGCCGCCGUAA
rnacentral:rRNA from 1 species